GUUGUGCUAAGUUAGUCAGACUAAGUGUUUUCAAAACACUCAGCGGCCCGUUAUAGCCGCAUAACG
rnacentral:tRNA from 1 species